AUGCGGCUGAUGGAUCCACCGAACGCGCAACACAUAAAAAGCGGACAAACGGUCGGGCCAUUCCCUUCUCUGCUUCCUCUCCCGUGCGUGUCGACGGUGCCUUCACCCUUUGCUCCGGCCGUUGCCGGCUGGCUCCGACGCCGCCACGCCCUGGCGCUGCUCCCUCCCCGAGCUUGCUGCGCCGUGCCCGCCCGAGCUCGCCGCGCCCGCUCCCUUCCCGAGCUCGCCGCGCCGUGCCCGCCCGAGCUCGCCGCGCCCGCUCCCUUCCCGAGCUCGCCGCGCCCGGCCCUGAGCUCCCCGCCCCGCUCCCUCCUCGAGCUCGCCGCGCCUGCAGCUUUUGGCGGUGCGAGCGCCACAGCUGCCUCUCCUUCCUCUCGCGCCAUGGUCCCGCGCCGCCGGACAGACAGACCGCUCCGACGGCCCGCAGGCGGCCGCGGCCCAGUAUCCCGUUGUGCUCCAGGCUGGCCAGGUCCCAAGAGCGUCGCCGGGGACGCAGAACGGAGGAGGAGUGUCGGAGAUCUCCCUGUCACCCGCUUGCCGUUCCGCGAGAUCUCCUCGCUGCUCUGCUCGGUUCAGCGGCUUGCGUCGGUGGCUUCGCCGGUGAGCACUACGGCGGCUUGCGCCGGUGGCGCCUCGGGUGAGCGCCGCGGCGGCCUGUGCCGGUGGCCUCGUCGCUGUGGUUGUGGAGGCAGUGUUGGGUCACUGAUAGGCGGGUCCAGGCCGGACACGAGAGGGCCGGAGGCGGACGAGAGCGAGCGAUGGGAGCGUCCGCUUUUGUCCAUCGCGGACCCAUUUCUUCCUAUAUUUGCGUUCAGUUUGGGUCCGGGACGGACAGUACGCGGACAGCGGGCAGACGCUUUGUCCGUUUGGGUCGCCCUGUUGGGCCAUCUUUUCUGUCCGGAUGAUCCGAACGGACAAAAUGGGUCGUCCCAUUGA
rnacentral:rRNA from 1 species